AAUGAACGCUGGCGGCAUGCCUUACACAUGCCAGUCGAACGGCAGCAUGACCUAGUUUGCUAGGUUGAUGGCGAGUGGCGCACGGGUGUGUAAUGCAUCGGACCUUGCCUUUUAGUGGGGGAUAACGUAGCGAAAGUUACGCUAAUACCGCAUAUUCUCUGAGGAGGAAAGCAGGGGACCUUCGGGCCUUGCGCUAGAAGAGCGGCCGAUGUCGGAUUAGCUAGUUGGUGAGGUAAAGGCUCACCAAGGCAACGAUCCGUAGCGGGUCUGAGAGGAUGAUCCGCCACACUGGGACUGAGACACGGCCCAGACUCCUACGGGAGGCAGCAGUAGGGAAUUUUGGGCAAUGGGCGCAAGCCUGAUCCAGCCAUGCCGCGUGAGUGAAGAAGGCCUUCGGGUUGUAAAGCUCUUUCGGCUGGGAAGAAAUCGCACCCUCUAAUACAGGGUGUGGAUGACGGUACCAGCAUAAGAAGCACCGGCUAACUACGUG
rnacentral:rRNA from 1 species